rnacentral:tRNA from 1 species
GCCCCCAUAGCUUAGUGGUAAAGCAGUUGCCUUUUAAGCAAUUGACGCGGGUUCGAUUCCUGCUGGGGGCACCA